AUGGAUUCCAUCUUGGCGAAUGAAACUUGGGAAAUAACUGAUCGUCCUUAUGGGUGCAAACCUAUAGGAUGCAAAUGGGUAUUCAAGAAGAAGCUUAGGCCUGAUGGUACUAUUGAAAAGUACAAGGCUCGGCUCGUGGCUAAGGGUUAUACCCAAAAGGAAGGUGAAGACUUCUUUGAUACUUACUCACCUGUGGCUCGACUGACCACUAUUCGAGUUCUGCUUUCACUAGCUGCCUCACAUGGUCCUCUCGUUCAUCAAAUGGAUAUUAAGACUGCUUUCCUAAAUGGAGAGUUGGACGAGGAGAUUUAUAUGGAACAACCAGAUGGGUUUGUACUAGAUGGUCAGGAAGGAAAAGUGUGCAAGUUGCUGAAGUCUUUGUAUGGACUCAAACAAGCACCCAAACAGUGGCAUGAGAAGUUUGAAAGAACUUUAACAGCUGCAGGCUUUGUUGUAAACGAAGCUGACAAAUGUGUGUACUAUCGCCAUGGUGGGGGAGAUGGUGGGAUCACAUUGCUUCAAUCUCACUAUGUGGAAAAGAUCUUGAGUCGCUUUGGCUACAGUGACUGCAAGCCCUCUCCAACACCAUAUGAUGCUAGUGUGUUGCUUCCAAAGAAUCGAAGAAUUGCUAGAGACCAAUUGAAGUAUUCUCAGAUUAUUGGCUCGCUUAUGUACUUAGCCAGUGCUACAAGACCUGACAUCUCUUUUGCUGUUAGCAAACUGAGUCGAUUUGUUUUAAAACCAGGAGAUGUGCAUUGGAAAGCUCUAGAGAGAGUUUUGCGUUAUUUGAAAGGCACUGCGAAUUAUGGAAUUCACUACACCGGGCACCCAAAGGUGCUUGAAGGGUAUAGUGACUCAAACUGGAACUCAGAUGCUGAUGAGAUAAAGGCCACGAGCGGUUAUGUAUUCACUCAUGGAGGUGGCGCUGUUUCUUGGAAGUCUUGCAAGCAUACCAUCUUAACGAGGUCAACAAUGGAAGCAGAACUCACAGCACUAGAUACAGCUACGGUCGAAGCAGAUUGGCUUCGCUGGCUCUUGAAUGACUUGCCGGUUGUUGAGAAACCUGUACCGGGUAUCCUUAUGAACUGCGACAAUCAAACUGUGAUCACGAAAGUGAGCAGCUCAAAGGAUAACAUGAAGUCAUCAAGACACGUUCAGAGAAGGUUAAAGUCUGUCAGGAAAAUGAGAAACUCCGGAGUUAUUGCAUUGGAUUAUAUCUAA
rnacentral:rRNA from 1 species